CCUACGUGAGGCAGCAGUAGGGAAUCUUUCACAAUGGGCGAAAGCCUGAUGGAGUAACGCCGCGUGCAGGAUGAAGGCCUUCGGGUUGUAAACUGCUUUUAUAAGCGAGAAAGAUGAUGGUAACUAAUGAAUAAGGAUCGGCUAACGACGUGACAGCAGCCGCGGUCAUACGUAGGAUACGAGCAUUAUCCGGAGUGACUGGGUGUCAAGAGUUGCGGAGGUGGCCUAAUAAGUAGCUAGUGAAAUCUGGUGGCUCAACCAUUCAGACUAUUAGCUAAACUGUUAAGCUCGAGCCCGUUAGGUGUAACUGGAAUUUCUAGUGUAGUCGUGAAAUCCGUAGAUAUUAGACGGACCACCAAUCGCGUAGGCAGGUUACUGGGACGGUUCUGACACU
rnacentral:rRNA from 1 species